GGGGGUAUAGCUCAGUUGUAGAGUGUUUGACAAGCAUGCAUGAAAUUCUAGGUUCAAUCCCUACUAAUGGCA
rnacentral:tRNA from 1 species